AUUGAACGCUGGCGGCAUGCCUUACACAUGCAAGUCGAACGGUAACGCGGGGCAACCUGGCGACGAGUGGCGAACGGGUGAGUAAAGCAUCGGAACGUGCCCAGUAGUGGGGGAUAGCCCGGCGAAAGCCGGAUUAAUACCGCAUACGACCUAUGGGUGAAAGGGGGGGAUCGCAAGACCUCUCGCUAUUGGAGCGGCCGAUGUCAGAUUAGGUAGUUGGUGGGGUAAAGGCCUACCAAGCCGACGAUCUGUAGCUGGUCUGCGAGGACGACCAGCCACACUGGGACGGAUACACGGCCCAGACUCCUACGGGAGGCAGCAGUGGGGAAUUUUGGACAAUGGGCGCAAGCCUGAUCCAGCCAUGCCGCGUGCGGGAAGAAGGCCUUCGGGUUGUAAACCGCUUUUGUCAGGGAAGAAAUCCUUUGGGUUAAUACCUCGGGGGGAUGACGGUACCUGAAGAAUAAGCACCGGCUAACUACGUGCCAGCCGCCGCGGUAA
rnacentral:rRNA from 1 species